AGUCCUGGCUGAAGUAGCCUGGGGACAGGACAGCAGCGGGAACAGAAGGACGGGCAGGAGGACAGAGGUGAGUGUGCUGGGGACAGGGGGAAGGGGUCCCCCUUCCCCAGGGCAACUGGGAAAACAGUUGCCCUUAGUUGCACUGGACCAGAGCUGAUGAGAACCUGUACCUUGAACCCAGCAGAGGCUGGGGGCAAAGAGAGAAUCUGGGGCCUGACUCCAGAGGGGUGCUGGCGAGAAGGCAGAAAGGAGA
rnacentral:lncRNA from 10 species